rnacentral:rRNA from 1 species
GACGAACGCUGGCGGCGUGCUUAACACAUGCAAGUCGAGCGGAGCGGCGAAAGGGUGAGUAACGCGUGAGUAACUGCCCCCCUAUCUGGGAUAACAGUUGGAAAAGGCUGCUAAUAACGGAGAGGGGGGGAUGCCUAGCGUCCUAUCAGCGUGUUGGUGGGGUAGUGGCCUACCAAGGCGACGACGGGUAGCCGGCCUGAGAGGGCGACCGGCCACGUUGGGCUGGGACACGGCCCAGACUCCUACGGGUGGCAGCAGUGGGGAAUAUUGGGCAAUGGGCGCAAGCCUGACCCAGCAACGCCGCGUGAAGGAAGACGGUCUUCGGAUUGUAGACUUCUUUAGACAGGGACGCGGUACCUGUAGAAUAAGCCACGGCUAACUACGUGCCAGCAGCCGCGGUAAUUC